rnacentral:rRNA from 1 species
UGGGGAAUAUUGCACAAUGGGGGAAACCCUGAUGCAGCCAUGCCGCGUGUGUGAAGAAGGCCCUAGGGUUGUAAAGCACUUUCAGUUGUGAGGAAAGGUGUGUAGUUAAUAGCUGCAUACUGUGACGUUAACAACAGAAGAAGCACCGGCUAACUUCGUGCCAGCAGCCGCGGUAAUACGAGGGGUGCAAGCGUUAAUCGGAAUUACUGGGCGUAAAGCGUACGUAGGCGGUUUGUUAAGCAAGAUGUGAAAGCCCAGGGCUCAACCUUGGAACUGCAUUUUGAACUGGCAAACUAGAGUACUGUAGAGGGUGGUGGAAUUUCCAGUGUAGCGGUGAAAUGCGUAGAGAUUGGAAGGAACAUCAGUGGCGAAGGCGGCCACCUGGACAGAUACCGACGCUGAGGUACGAAAGCGUGGGGAGCAAACAGGAUUAGAUACCCUGGUAGUCCACGCCGUAAACGAUGUCAACUAGCCGUCUGUGACCUUGAGUCGUGGGUGGCGUAGCUAACGCGCUAAGUUGACCGCCUGGGGAGUACGGCCGCAAGGUUAAAACUCAAAUGAAUUGACGGGGGCCCGCACAAGCGGUGGAGCAUGUGGUUUAAUUCGAUGCAACGCGAAGAACCUUACCAUCCCUUGACAUCCAGAGAAGAGACUAGAGAUAGACUUGUGCCUUCGGGAACUCUGUGACAGGUGCUGCAUGGCUGUCGUCAGCUC